UACGAAGGGGGCUAGCGUUGCUCGGAAUCACUGGGCGUAAAGCGCACGUAGGCGGAUUCUUAAGUCAGGGGUGAAAUCCUGGAGCUCAACUCCAGAACUGCCUUUGAUACUGGGAAUCUUCGAGUCCGGGAGAGGUGAGUGGAACUGCGAGUGUAGAGGUGAAAUUCGUAGAUAUUCGCAAGAACACCAGUGGCGAAGGCGGCUCACUGGCCCGGUACUGACGCUGAGGAGCGAAAGCCAGGGGAGCAAACGGG
rnacentral:rRNA from 1 species